UACGAAGGGGGCUAGCGUUGCUCGGAAUCACUGGGCGUAAAGGGUGCGUAGGCGGGUCUUUUAAGUCAGGGGUGAAAUCCUGGAGCUCAACUCCAGAACUGCCUUUGAUACUGGAGAGCUUGAGUCCGGGAGAGGUGAGUGGAACUCCGAGUGUAGAGGUGAAAUUCGUAGAUAUUCGGAAGAACACCAGUGGCGAAGGCGGCUCACUGGCCCGGUACUGACGCUGAUGUGCGAAAGCGUGGGGAGCAAACAGG
rnacentral:rRNA from 1 species